UGUGUAUAUCUAUGUGUGUGUGUGUGUGUGUGUGUGUAUAUAUAUAUAUACACACACACACACACAUGAUUUUCUUA